GAACGAUUAUGAUGAUAAUAAUAUAGAUUGGAGAAGGAGGGGGGAAAGCCAUAAUUGGAAACCUUCCUGUCUUUUAAAUGCAACUAACUUUGAGCCUAAAGUAGUUAUUUUUGGAGAAUACCAGAGUAUUUCUUCCAAAAAGAAUGUUCUGAAGUCAACAGGACUGAUUCCAUCCUUGGGACCUGGGAAUUGCUUGAUGCAAGUCAUCAUUUUCCAAAAAUCUACUUUUACCCACCACCUAUGGGAGGUUUAGAAUGAACAACUGGAAGAAAUAUCACAGAAGAAAUGCAAGAAUACCGAAAGCUGACUCAGCAACUUGGAAUUCCUACUGAAAAUAUUGAAAAUGUCUAUGGAAUCGGUAAAUUAGUUCCCGUAAAAAUGAAUUGAAAUUAGUACAAAU